GACGAACGCUGGCGGCGUGCUUAACGCAUGCAAGUCGAACGGAAAGGCCCUGCUUUCGUGGGGUGCUCGAGUGGCGAACGGGUGAGUAACACGUGAGUAACCUGCCCUUGACUUUGGGAUAACUUCAGGAAACUGGGGCUAAUACCGGAUAGGAGCUCCUGCUGCAUGGUGGGGGUUGGAAAGUUUCGGCGUGUGGGGAUGGACUCGCGGCUUAUCAGCUUGUUGGUGGGGUAGUGGCUUACCAAGGCUUUGACGGGUAGCCGGCCUGAGAGGGUGACCGGCCACAAUGGGACUGAGGUACGGAGCAGUCUCCUACGGGAGGCAGCAGUGGGGAAUAUUGCACAAUGGGCGGAAGCCUGAUGCAGCAACGCCGCGUGCGGGAUGACGGCCUUCGGGUUGUGAACCGCUUUCGCCUGUGACGAAGCGUGAGUGACGGUAAUGGGUAAAGAAGCACCGGCUAACUACGUG
rnacentral:rRNA from 1 species